CGAUAGUUCACGUUUAAUUUUGCUUAUUUUUGUAAAGUCAGCUUGUAUACCGCCGUCAUCAGAUUAUCUUUUUAGAGGAUGAAUUUUCUUUAUAUUUGAGUAAAUAGAAUGUCAGGUCAAGGUGCAGUUUAUAUGUAAGUGGAGAUGGAUUACAAUAAAGAAAUUUAUAUGGAUAUAAAUUUGAAAUGAUUUAUUGAAGGUGGAU
rnacentral:rRNA from 1 species